UGGCAUUGUUGUUCAUAUGGGGUCUCGAGCC
rnacentral:piRNA from 1 species